rnacentral:rRNA from 1 species
GACAGGUGCUGCAUGGCUGUCGUCAGCUCGUGUCGUGAGAUGUUGGGUUAAGUCCCGCAACGAGCGCAACCCUUGUCAUUAGUUGCUACGAAAGGGCAACUCUAAUGAGACUGCCCGGGUGGACAAAACCGGAGGAAGGUGGGGAUGACGUCAAGUCCCCAUGGCCCUUAUGGGUAGGGCUUCACACGUCAUACAAUGGUCGGUACAGAGGGCUGCCAACCCGCAAGGGGGAGCCAAUCCCUUAAAACCGAUCGUAGUCCGGAUUGAGGUCUGCAACUCGACCUCAUGAAGUCGGAAUCGCUAGUAAUCGCGGAUCAGCAUGUCGCGGUGAAUACGUUCCCGGGUCUU